ACGGGAGGCAGCAGUGAGGAAUAUUGGUCAAUGGGCGAGAGCCUGAACCAGCCAAGUCGCGUGAAGGAUGAAGGUUCUAUGGAUUGUAAACUUCUUUUGUUCGAGGGUAAAGUGAGGGAUGCGUCCCUUAUUGCAAGUAUCGAACGAAUAAGCAUCGGCUAAUUCCGUGCCAGCAGCCGCGGUAAUACGGAAGAUGCGAGCGUUAUCCGGAUUUAUUGGGUUUAAAGGGAGCGUAGGCGGGUCUUUAAGUCAGUGGUCAAAGCGUGUGGCUCAACCAUACCACGCCAUUGAUACUGGAGACCUUGAGUGCACAUAAGGAUGGUGGAAUUCGUCGUGUAGCGGUGAAAUGCUUAGAUAUGACGAAGAACUCCGAUUGCGAAGGCAGCUGUCCGGGGUGUAACUGACGCUAAUGCUCGAAAGUGCGGGUAUCAAACAGGAUUAGAUACCCUGGUA
rnacentral:rRNA from 1 species